rnacentral:tRNA from 1 species
CGGGAUGUACAGUAGCCCGGUAUCUUGUCCCGAUAAGGAUCGGGAAGAUCGUGGGUUCGAAUCCCACCAUCCCGA